GGGGUACCUGAGAUGCAGGGGCCGGGGCCAGCCGGGUGCCCCGCACGGUCACUGGGUUCUCUGCGAAGCGCAGAGACCGCGAGGACAAGGGGAGGCCGAGGCUGUGUCGAAGUGUCGGGGAGCCCCAAGUCGUUCCCGGACCCAAAUACGGAGUUUGCAGAGGACAGAAAAGGAAGAAGCUAUCAGGGCACAGACACAGGGACGACCGUGUGAGGACACAGGGAGAAAUGGCUGUCUAUAAGCCCAGGAGAGAAGCCUCAGGAGAAACCAACGUUGCCCACAGCUUGAGCUCAGACUUCAAGCCUCAAGGAGUGUGAAGAAUAAAUGUCUGCUGUUUA